AUUGAACGCUAGCGGCAGGCCUAACACAUGCAAGUCGAACGAGUGGCGGACGGGUGAGUAAUGUCUGGGAAACGGCCCGAUGGAGGGGGAUGACUACUGGUAACGGUAGCUAAUACCGCAUACCAUCGGAUGUGCCCAUAUGGGUUUAGCUAGUUGGUGGGGUAACGACUCACCUAGGCGCCGAUCCCUAGCUGGGCUGAGAGGAUGACCAGCCACACUGGAACUGAGACACGGUCCAGACUCCGACGGGAGGCAGCAGUGGGGAAUUGUGGAGAAUGGGCGAAAGCCUGAUGCAGCCAUGCGGCGUGUGGGAUGAAGGCCUUCGGGUUGUAAAGCACUUGCAGCGAGGAGGCGUUACUCGCAGAAGAAGCACCGGCUAACUCCGUGCCAGCAGCCGCGGUAAUUC
rnacentral:rRNA from 1 species